AGCAAAAUCAUGACAAACAAAUAAUUAUCAUUGGAAAUGUCGAAGGUCACUAUUUUCAACAUAUAAAAGUUAGCGAUCCACAGAUUGAUUACACAAAAGUUUACAGAACUUCGAGAACAACGAUCGCUCAAGAUAUAAAAUCAAAAAAAUGUCGAAAAUAAUUUUAUUAUUAUCAAUUUUCCUAUUGAUUAGUGUCUAUGCUUGUGCAGAUGCAGCAUGUCAAUAUUAUACAUGCAAUCCAUCACAAGGUAUUGGCUGUUGUGAUGCAAUUACAACAUGUAGUAGUAAAAUGGGUGACGGUAUAUGCGUACCUCUUGCGGGAAUGCUGUAACUCUAACCAAUAUAUUUGGAAAAUAAUUAUAACAAUACAGUGAAAAUUUAAAGAUGUAU